GCCAACUCCGAUUAUGUCUGAGGCCGGUAACAUCAACAGUGAGGACAAACCCAAUCUACAGUCACUGGGUCCUGAUGGUGACAGUGGAGCCCAGUUUGCACUGCAGGAUCCAGAGAUGGCAUCAGUGAAGGUGGAAGACUGCAGUCAAACACUGGAGCUGAAUGUCAACAUUAAAGAUGAAGAAGAGGAGGAGAAGAUUGGGGAAUCUGUUUAUGAUGGAGACCAUGUUGAGAUAUUCUCUACAUCCGGAGAGCAACAGCAGGAAGAUCACAGAGUUAAGAGGUCUCACCACUGCCCACAUUGUGAGGAGAUUUUCCCAAUUCUAUCAAAACUAGAAAUACACCUAAAAAUACACACAGGAGAUAAUCUGUAUUCCUGCACUGACUGUACGAAGAGUUUCACAACAUCACAGGCUCUGACAGUUCAUCUGCGAGUCCACACUGGAGAAAAACNNNNNNNNNNACCUCAAUCCUAUAGAAAAUGUGUGGGCAGAACUGAAAAAGCGUGUGCGAGCAAGGAGGCCUACAAACCUGACUCCGUUACACUAGCUCUGUCAGGAGGAAUGGGCCAAAAUUCACCCAACUUAUUGUGGGAAGCUUGUGGAAGACUCCCCGAAACAUUUGACCCAAGUUAAACAAUUUAAAGUCAAUGCUACCAAAUACUAAUUGAGUGUAUGUAAACUUCUGACCCACUGGGAAUGCGAUGAAAGAAAUAAAAGCUGAAAUAAAUAAUUCUCUCAACUAUUAUUCUGACAUUUCACAUUCUUAAAACAAAGUGGUGAUCCUAACUGACCUAAGACAGGGAAUUUUGACUUGGAUUAAAUGUCAGUAAUUGUGAAAAACNNNNNNNNNNCUCCUGCUCUGACUGCGGGGAGAGUUUCUCUCAACAGAGCAGCUUAAAAACACACCAACGUAUACACACAGGAGAGAAGCCUUACUCAUGCUCUGACUGUGGGAAGAGUUUCUCCGUAUCCAGCAACUUAAAAACACACCUAAAAAUACACGCUGGGGAGAAGCCUUACUUUUGCUCUGACUGUGGGGCGAGUUUUUCUCAACAGAGCCACUUACAAACCCACCAACAUAUACAUACAGGAAAGAAGCAUUACUUAUGCUCUGACUGCGGAAAAUGCUUCAUAACAUCAGCUGAGUUAAGAGUUCAUCAGAGAACACACACAGGAGAGAAACCUUACUGCUGCUCUGACUGUGGGAAGAGUUUCUCUCAACAGAGCAACUUAAAAUGUCACCAGCGAAUACACACAGGAGAGAAGCCUUACUCCUGCUCUGAUUGUGGGAAGAGUUUCACCCAUUUGGAUAUAUUAAAAUGUCACCAGCGAAUACACACAGGAGAGAAGCCUUACUCCUGCUCUGUCUGUGGGAAGAGUUUCUCCCAACAGGGCAACUUAAAAACACACCAACGUAUACAUAAAGGAGAGAAGCCUUACUCCUGUUCUGACUGUGAAAAAUGCUUCACAACAUCAACUGAGCUAAAAGUUCAUCGGAGAACACACACAGGAGAGAAGCCUUACUGCUGUUCUGACUGUGGGAAGAGUUUCUCCCGAUUGGCUACCUUAAAAACACAUCAAUGUAUACAUAAAGGAGAGAAGCCUCAUCAGUUCUCUCAGACCAACUAAGAUUAAAGUCACUCCAUCGAUUAAUCCUCAUCUUGUAAAAGAAGUGGUAACAGUGAAUUGGAUCAAGAAGAAAGCAUAGAAUACUAUUGUAAUCCUAUUGUUUCUCAAUGUGACAGAACUGCAGAGGAAAGGGAGUGUUAUAGAAUUAUGACAUUGGAAAUCAUCUUUCUCCAACUUUUUUUUACUACAGAACGUGCCAUUUUCACAGAUGUUGAUGUUGGGGUGGUGCUGGGGAUGGGGAUGAUAAAUAUGAAGUUGGAACAUUUUAAAAUGUCCCUUUUAAGGCAAAAACAAUAGGAUAGUGGUUGGUCGGGUGGAUGGAUGGAUCAGCAAAAACAUGAAAGUCUAGCAACUCAACGGUUGCGUGUUCAAAUCUCAUCACGGACAAUUGUAGCGAAUAAGCAACUUUGCAACUACACUACAUGACCAAAAGUAUACCGUUCAAAAGGUUGGGGUCACUUAGAAAUGUCCUUGUUUUUGAAAGAUAAGCUAUUUUUUUGUCUGUUUUAUUUAACAUCAAAUUGAUCAGUGUAGACAUUGUUAAUGUUGUAAAUUACUGUUGUCGUUGGAAACGGCAGAUUUUUUUAUGGAUAAUCUACAUAGGCGUACAGAGGCCCAUCAUCAGCAGCCAUCACUCCUGUGUUCCAAUGGCACGUUGUGUUAGCGAUUUCAAGUUGAUAAUUUUAAAAGGUUAAAUGAUCAAUAGAAAACCCUUUUGCAAUUAUGUUAGCACAGCUAAAAACAGUUGUGCUGGUUAAGUUGGACUAGAUGAGUAUCUGGAGCAUCAGCAUUUGUGAGUUUGAUUAAAGGUUCAAAAUGGCCAGAAACAAAUAACUUUCUUCUGAAACUCGUCAAUCUAUUCUUGUUCUGAGAAAUGAAGGCUAUUCCGUGCGAAAAAUUGCCAAGAAACUGAAAAUCUCAUACAACGCUGUGUACUACCUUCACAGAACAGCACAAACUGGACCUAACCAGAAUAGAAAGAGGCGUGGGAGGCCCCGGUGCACAACUGAGCAAGACGACAAGUACAUUAGAGUGUCUAGUUUGAGAAACGGAUGCCUCACAAGUCCUCAACUGGAAGCUUCAUUAAAUAAUACCCGCAAAACACCAGUCUCAACGUCAACAGUGAAGAGGCAACUCCGGGAUGCUGGCCUUCUAGGCAGAGUUGCAAAGAAAAAGACAUAUCUUAGACUGGCCAAUAAAAAGAAAAGAUUAAGAUGGGCAAAAGAACACAGACACUUGACAGAGGAACUCUGCCUAGAAGGCCAGCAUCCCGGAGUCGCCUCUUCACUGUUGAUGUUGAGACUGCACUGUAUUUCUGAUCAAUUCAAUGUUAUUUAAUGGACAAAAAACAACAACUUUUGAACGGUAGUGUAUGUGGGCACCUGCUCGUCGAACAUCUCAUUCCAAAAUCAUGGGCCUUAAUAUGGACUUGGUCCCCCUUUUGCUGCAAUAACAGCCUCCACUCUUCUGGGAAGGCUUUCCACUAGAUUUUUGAACAUUGCUCUGGGGACUUUUUCCAUUCAACCACGAGCAUUAGUGAGGUCAGGCACUGAUGUUGGGCGAUUAGGUCUGGCUCCCAGUCAACGUUUCAAUUCAUCCCAAAGGUGUUCGAUGGGGUUAAGGUCAGGGCUCUGUGCAGGCCAGUCAAGUUCUUCCACACUGAUCUCGACAAACCAUUUGUGUAUGGACGUCUAUUUGUGCUCUGGGGCAUUGUCACGCUGAAACAGGAAAGGGCCUUCCCCAAACUGUUGCCACAAAGUUGGCAGCACAGAACCAUCUAUAAUGUCAUUGUAUGCUGUAGCGGUAAGAUUUCCCUUCACUGGAACAAAGGGAACUAGUCCGAACCAUGAAAAACAGCCCCAGACCAUUAGUUGUCCUCCACCAAACUUUACAGUUGGCACUAUGCAUUGGGGCAGGUAGCGUUCUCCCUGCAUCCACCAAACCCAGAUUAGUCCGUCGGACUGCUAGAUGAUGAAGCGUGAUUCAUCACUCCAGAGAACAUGUUUCCACUGCGUCACUCCAAUGGCGUUUAGUUUUACCCCACUCCAGCCAACGCUUGGCAUUACGCAUGGUGAUCUUAGGCAUGUGUGCUGCUGCUCGGCCAUGGAAACCCAUUUUAUGAAGCUCCCAAUGAACAGUUCUUGUUGACGUUGCUUCCAGAAGCAGUUUGGAACUUGAUUGUGAGUGAUGCAACCGAGGACAGACCAUUUUUACAUGCUUCAGCACUCGGCGGUCCUCAAGCAGGGCAGACAUUUGAUGAACUGGCGGUGCCACAUUGAAAGUCACUAAGCUCUUCAGUAAGGCUAUUCUACUGCCAAUGUUUGUUUAUGGAGAAUGCAUGGCUGUGUGCUCGAUUUUAUACUCCUGUCAGCAAUGGGUGUGGCUGAAAUAGCCAAAUCCACAAUUUGAAGGGGUGUCCUCAUACUUUUGUGUAUAUAGUGUGCUUACCAUGUUAAUGUUAGCAACAACAA
rnacentral:lncRNA from 13 species